UAGAAUCGAGUGUCCUCUUAUUUACCAUCUGGAUGUGGGGGCCAUGUACCCCAACAUCAUCCUUACCAACAGACUACAGCCCUCUGCCAUGGUGGAUGAGGCGACCUGUGCCGCCUGUGAUUUUAAUAAACCUGGUGCAAACUGUCAGCGCAGAAUGACUUGGCAGUGGAGAGGAGAGAUCAAAGUGAGUUUCAUCGCAUUCAGCAGCAACUGGAGUCCGAGAAGUUUCCCCCUCUCUUUCCUAAUGGUCCACCUCGUGCUUU